rnacentral:misc_RNA from 1 species
GGCCUCAUAAUGAACUUCCUGAUUAUAUCACUCAGUCUUCAUUGUGAUGGAUGUUUGGACAGUUUUGAGGGUUCAUCAGGCACAGUAUAUGACGCGGUCAGCUGUGCUGCACAAGAACCAGAUGCAACAGUUUUCCUAUCCUAGACAUGAGAAACGAAAGUUGGUAACUACACCUAUCUGUCUUUAUUUUCAUUCCUCAUAUUGUAAGGUCAAUUGUUUAUGAUUAUUAUUCUUUGGAAUUACUCAACUCUCCACGUAUGUAUUACUUCUGUUACUUCUGUGAGGUAAAUACAUUGUGAGCAGUUUUUGCAAACUAUUUGUUCCAAAAGAUGCUUUUGAAAAUCAUAUGGCCGGGUGUUACUUGUAUUUUGUAAGAGUUGCAUGUCAAUUGGAAAUGGCGAAAAUGCCUAUAGAUAGAGCUGAAUGAUAUUAACGGGUCUAUCACCCAAACUCUACAUGGUUAAUGCUUGAAAGACAAUUGUCAGGAAUUUCCUUUUCCCCUUGGAUCUUGGAAUGCCUUUUUCCCCCCAUGGAGACAUGGUCUCCCCCAUCAGUGGAGACGAGAGUAUACUCUCUGCCCUACCUGUGAGAAUCCUCAAUACCUCUGUGGGAACCCUAAAUGUAACGUUCGUGGUUAUACCCUAAUUUUUACUUGUAUAUUGGUAUAAAAAAAAUUGAAAAUAAUUAAAAUAAGAAGGAAAAAUAAAAGCAAGCAAGGAAUGAGGAUCUCCAUCUGAUGGCGAAAGACCCUCCUAUCUCCGUCCUGCCUUGCUACCAUCCCUAAAUUCAAAUCUUGAUCAAGAAUCUGGAGACUGAAGAUAUGUCAGAUUUAUUUGUGUACCAGAUGAUUUGUAUAAUCAAAAAGCUUUUGGAAUGAAGCUGAGAAUUAUUAGCAUCAAAUGAAAUUCAACAAAACCAAAAAUUUUUGGUGGUGGGGUGUAGGUUGGAGAUGUUAGUCUUUUAAAUGCUAUAUAAAUUGUCUCUAUAGAGAUCAUGUUUGAGGAUUUGUGAUGUGGAAAAUUAUCCAGCUGAGCCGAAAGGAAGGGAAAAGAGGAAAUGGGUGGUAUAUUCUAAAAGUGGUAAGAAGAAUUUAGAAGCCUCUCCAGCUGGUGGACAGGUGAGCACCAUUCUAUUAGUUGCAAAUACAGGAAGGGUAUGAGUGAAGAAUUGUAUUUCUUUCGAGCUUAGUAAGGUUGGGGGCAGUUAGUAUAGCUGCUGGGGUGUGAGAGAGAUAUUUCUGGAUUUCUUCAUAUAUAAAGUUAUUAAAGGUGGAGCGUACUAAGGCGGAGCUUAGGCGCAGGCGUGCACCUAAGCGAGGUGAGAUGUA